AGGGAGUGAGCAAUGUUAGAGAGGCAGAGUUCUUUUUGAAUUUUUGUUUUCCUGUUAAAAGUGGUAUGUGAUUUUUAUGAGAAAGUAAGAAAGAGAUGAAUAAGGAUAGUAAAACAAAAAGAAGAGAGAAAUUGUGAUUCAUGUAUAUUUUUUUAAUGUUUUUUUAUUCUCUCCAUGUAUCCUUACUCCAAUGUUUUUUUAUCCUCUCCACGUAUCCUUAC
rnacentral:lncRNA from 1 species